rnacentral:ribozyme from 13 species
UUUUUAUAUUUUUUCUUCAUUUUAUUUUCUAUCUCUUUCCUCUAUUCUCACAAAUUAGUUUUUAUGGCGAGGGAGGGAA